UCUGCUCUGCUGGCCCGCCCCCCUCCUAAGGGAGAGCAUCUUUGCGCCUUGGGCGCCUCGGGCUUCACCUUCCCAGUCCUCCGGAAACUUAACUCCAAACAGAAGCAAGUUGCGGGAAUGUAUCCACCGGAAACCUACUUUGGGCCAAGCACUGUGGCUCCGGAGACCCACCAAAGUCGUCGGAGUCAGCGGGGUUCUACUCUCCUGCAAUUUUCAGCGCCGGAGGAGACAGACAGUAAACAAGCAAGCAAACAAAUAAGAAUGACUCAAUCUCAUCUUCCAAUUAAGCUUAAUCUGUUAAUUGAAGGAACAUGAUGCAGCAGUUUCCCGACCCUGUCCCUCAGCUCCUGACCCACAGGACACUCCAUGGACUGGGGAGGGGAAGAAGAGAAUCUCAAGCAGCCUCCACUGACACAGGGCUCGAUCUCGUGACCCAGAGGUUAUGAGCUGAGCCGAAAUCAAGAGUCAGCCAACUGAGCCACCUCAGCGCCC